UACGAAAAGAGGUUGACUUCGCAGUCACUGCCUUGGGGAGGAGUAUUAGACCAGUGGCGCUGAGGGUGGGGGUAGAGAGAGGAGUUUGCGGUGUUUAAGGUACGCCACUACCUACGUUGUCUCGGGUCGGAGGAGAUCCCAAACGCAGGCGGUAGCUCCACUAUUGGCCGCCGAUACCGCCGCUACCGCUGAACGCCCUGUUUCCUUCCUAACGUUCUGGUAGCAAGACCUCCUACCCACUCUGAAAUACGUCUCCCCGAAGUUGUACGAGUAGUUGUAGGAGCUCCCGGUCUCGGGCUCGUGUUGAGGCUUCUGAUGUACUACGUCGACUGGUGCAAUCACUAACGACCGAAACGACGUAACCAGUUAAAAUUUAAGUCAAUUUGUUCCUUUUGUUCUAGUCUUAAAGACGAUGAUGUGAAGGAACCAUAACCGCGAACCCCCAGGUGUCCAAGUAGCUAACAAGAAUAUGAAAACCAUACGAGGUAAGUCAAGAGUAACGUACUUAAACAUAUGUUUUCCUACAUACUACGUUCUACUGAUUCUUUGUUUUGACUUAAAACAAGUCCGACGUCAGGCACAGAGGUACAUCGAGAAAACAUCAUGAUAACUGAUUCACCAUGUAAAAGGGGUACUAAAACAUACCGGAAACAUCGACGUCUCUUUGACUAUCAACCUCAAUCCCCUAUACCUAUAUAGUCGGUGUAGCCCACUGGAAUGUCUUCAAGUCUAUUAUGAAUGGAGAUCCCUCGGACGAAAUCCCUAAAAGAAGCCACGAAGGUUUAACAAUCCGUUUCUAAAC
rnacentral:rRNA from 1 species